rnacentral:misc_RNA from 1 species
UCACCCCUCAAGCCCCGUGCUUGGUGUUGGACGGUCGGUCGAAGGGUUUUGCCCCGCGACCCCUCCUAAAGACAACGACGGCGGCCUGUGGUUCCCCCGGUACACUGAGCUUUUCACCGAGCACGUACCGGACGAGGGCGCCCAGGACCCGGUCUUCUCCUCUCGCGAGGAACUAUUUUAUCAA